AAUAACAAUAUUCUUAGUAGCACCCUCGUCUGUCAUCUCCCUCAAAGUAGAUUGAAGAUAAUAAAGUUAUGCACUCUUCUGAUACGAACCACUGAAAAAUUAGGUUGACGUACAUUAUUACCUGCAAUUCUGUGAGUAUUAUUCUGUUAUACUCUAUUACCAGUUUCCGCAGCAGUAGUAGGUUGUUCGAUAGCAUAGAUGGCUAUCCUAGGCGAGACAAUAUUACAUCGAGCUGUCUUUAUACUUUCUUACAUCGCUUUGAACUCCUCACUUGAGACUGAAGUUGCAGUUUGAUUUUGCUCUGUGUUUUUUUCUUCAUAAUUUCUCUGUUUUCUCUGAACAAUUAAAGCUGCACAAGCACAAUCAUGGUAUAUUUCUACUUCAAUGAUGAUUUUAGUUGAACCUUUUUAGAUCACAGAAACAUUAGACCUCUAAGCUAACUGUGAUCCUAGUUAUUGGUUCAAAAUGGAUAUUUUACACUGAAACAGGUUGAUUUUUUUUUUUGGAAAAGUAAACAGGUUGAUCUUGAGGAUCCAGUAUUUAUUGGAGCCAGAUUUGUCAAGCAAGUAGCUGCUAGGAUCAAUGAUUUGUCUGGCGAUGGAUUAAAGUACUGGUUUUAAUGAUAUUCAGUGGUUUCUGCAGGAGCCAAAGAUAACUUGGUAUAGAGAAAUAGGAAAAGUUCUAGUCAGUGAACUAAAAAUAUGUCAAAGGAGGUAUAUCUACUUGACAGUCUGGCUCAUAUGUUGGUCGGUUCUUUUUCUGUGGCUAUUGACUAAAAUGAGGGAGUCAUCCAAUCUUGCUAUAUAGGCUGGAGAGCAAUUGGAACCUUGACUGAAGAUGCUCUGACUGUAACAAAGGCUGCUGUUGAGGAAGGGUUUGUUGGUGAUGGCUGUACUCUUUUGAGGCUGGCUUCAAAAGUUGAUUCCAUCAUAGAAUCUCGUGAGAAUGAUAAGCAGCAGGUUGGGACUGAGAUUGCAAGGAAGACUCUGAAUUACCGUUUAACUUUAUUGUCAAUAAGAUAAGCAGAGCAAUGACAGAUCUUUGCAAGGUUCUUGCCAGGCAACUUGAGGUAUGGAUAUAAUGCUGGAAAGUACGAGGACUUGAUGGUUGGUGGAAUUAUUGGCCCCUUUAAGCUCGAAAAUUUUUGAUAAACAGAAGGCUGUGAUGUGCUGCUGCUUGGAGGACCCUGGGAACAUCAUGCUGCAUCCGUGGCGAAGACAUACAUCAGUUCCAGACCGCGUGCUGGACUACUGAAGUGCUGGUAAGGGCAGCAGGCCAUGGAUUCUAACCGACCGAAAAGGUGAUCCGGUUUUCUUAUGAGUAACGGGUAGGGGAGGACGACUGGACGAGGGGGGCGAGUUACUAAUCCCAUCCAGGUAUGCACGGUCACGUCGCUUCCCUGACGCUCUAGUUGGCAAUGCAUACGUAUGUUUCAUGGUCAUGGACACACACAUGCCUAAACGGCCUCCUUUUCCAGAACGAGAAAUGCAUGUUUUGUUUCAUUCUCAAAAUGCGCAUGCAUCAUGCUGUUCAUCCAGCCCCUAGAAAACUACAAAAAAAAAACCUUGAUAGCACACGAGUACGGAGGAGGGGCGCC